GUGGGGAAUCUUCCGCAAUGGACGAAAGUCUGACGGAGCAACGCCGCGUGAACGAUGACGGCCUUCGGGUUGUAAAGUUCUGUUAUACGGGACGAAUGGUACGACGGCCAAUACCCGUCGUAAGUGACGGUACCGUAAGAGAAAGCCACGGCUAACUACGUGCCAGCAGCCGCGGUAAUACGUAGGUGGCAAGCGUUGUCCGGAAUUAUUGGGCGUAAAGGGCGCGCAGGCGGCGUCGUAAGUCGGUCUUAAAAGUGCGGGGCUUAACCCCGUGAGGGGACCGAAACUGCGAUGCUAGAGUAUCGGAGAGGAAAGCGGAAUUCCUAGUGUAGCGGUGAAAUGCGUAGAUAUUAGGAGGAACACCAGUGGCGAAAGCGGCUUUCUGGACGACAACUGACGCUGAGGCGCGAAAGCCAGGGGAGCAAACGGGAUUAGAAACCCGAGUAGUCC
rnacentral:rRNA from 1 species